AUGAACGCUGGCGGCGUGCCUAAUCCAUGCAAGUCGAGCGCACGGACGAGAAGCUUGCUUCUCUGAUGUUAGCGGCGGACGGGUGAGUAACACGUGGAUAACCUACCUAUAAGACUGGGAUAACUUCGGGAAACCGGAGCUAAUACCGGAUAAUAUUUUGAACCGCAUGAUUCAAAAGUGAAAGACGGUCUUGCUGUCACUUAUAGAUGGAUCCGCGCUGCAUUAGCUAGUUGGUAAGGUAACGGCUUACCAAGGCAACGAUGCAUAGCCGACCUGAGAGGGUGAUCGGCCACACUGGAACUGAGACACGGUCCAGACUCCUACGGGAGGCAGCAGUAGGGAAUCUUCCGCAAUGGGCGAAAGCCUGACGGAGCAACGCCGCGUGAGUGAUGAAGGUCUUCGGAUCGUAAAACUCUGUUAUUAGGGAAGAACAUAUGUGUAAGUAACUGUGCACAUCUUGACGGUACCUAAUCAGAAAGCCACGGCUAACUACGUG
rnacentral:rRNA from 1 species